AUGCAGCUCCGCCGCCUGCGUCGAGCAGCUCCGCCGUCGGUGUCGAGCGCUCCAUUGCAGCUCCGCGCCUGCGUCGAGCAUCUCCAUUGCAGCUCCGCCGUCGGCGUCGAGCGCUCCAUUGCAGCUCCCCCGCCGUCGCUCGAGUACUGCAACGGCACGCAAGGUUACAUUGCAUCACGGACGAGGUUGCAACGCACCGUGAUGGCCGUGGACAAGUUGUUGUGUCGCAUACUGGCGGCCAUCGACGCGUUGGUGCGUUGCAGCACCGGCGUUCGUCAACGAGCGCCGUUUCGUAUCGCCGGCAGCACCUCCCGGUUCCCCCGCUGCUGUGGUGGUGCUCACCAUGGCUCCCCUCAAUGGGCGCUGCUUUGCAACUAUGCCGCCUCCUGCGAUGCAACGGAGGAGCUCCGGCUGUUGGUGCCGACGGCCGGCGUCAAAGCUCUUCCAUCUUCCUAG
rnacentral:rRNA from 1 species